GAUGAACGCUAGCUACAGGCUUAACACAUGCAAGUCGAGGGGAAACGACAUCGAAAGCUUGCUUUUGGUGGGCGUCGACCGGCGCACGGGUGAGUAACGCGUAUCCAACCUGCCCACCACUUGGGAAUAACCUUGCGAAAGUAAGACUAAUACCCAAUGAUAUCCCACGAAGGCAUCCGAAUGGGAUUAAAGAUUUAUCGGUGAUGGAUGGGGAUGCGUCUGAUUAGCUUGUUGGCGGGGUAACGGCCCACCAAGGCAACGAUCAGUAGGGGUUCUGAGAGGAAGGUCCCCCACAUUGGAACUGAGACACGGUCCAAACUCCUACGGGAGGCAGCAGUGAGGAAUAUUGGUCAAUGGGCGAGAGCCUGAACCAGCCAAGUAGCGUGCAGGAUGACGGCCCUAUGGGUUGUAAACUGCUUUUAUAGGGGAAUAAAGUGAGCCACGUGUGGCUUUUUGCAUGUACCCUAUGAAUAAGGACCGGCUAAUUCCGUG
rnacentral:rRNA from 1 species